rnacentral:rRNA from 1 species
GAUAGGCUAUAGCCCCUGGAAUGAGCUAUAGCUGAAAUCUAUAUGGCCCUAGGAUGGGACUGCGGCCGAUCAGGUAGUUGGUGGGGUAAUGGCCCACCAAGCCUAUAACCGGUGCGGGCUCUGAGAGGAGGAGCCCGGAGAUGGGCACUGAGACAAGGGCCCAGGUCCUAUGGGGCGCAGCAGGCGCGAAACCUCCGCAAUGGGCGAAAGCCCGACGGGGUUAGUCCGAGUGGUCCCUGCUGAAGGGGCCUUUUGCCAGCUGUAAAAAGGCUGGCGAAUAAGGGGUGGGCAAGUUUGGUGUCAGCCGCCGCGGUAAUACCAGCACCCCGAGUGGUCGGGACGAUUAUUGGGCCUAAAGCAUCCGUAGCCGGCUUAGCAAGUCCUCCGUUAAAUCCAACGGCUUAACCGUUGGGCUGCGGAGGAUACUGCUAAGCUAGGGGGCGGGAGAGGCGAGGGGUAUUCCCAGGGUAGGGGUAAAAUCCGUUGAUCCUGGGAGGACCACCAGUGGCGAAGGCGCCUCGCUAGAACGCGCCCGACGGUGAGGGAUGAAAGCUGGGGGAGCGAACCGGAUUAGAUACCCGGGUAGUCCCAGCCGUAAACGAUGUAGGCUCGAUGUUGGGUUACCCAAGUGGUAGCCCAGUGUCGCAGGGAAGCCGUUAAGCCUACCGCCUGGGGAGUACGGCCGCAAGGCUGAAACUUAAAGGAAUUGGCGGGGGAGCACCACAAGGGGUGAAGCCUGCGGUUUAA